rnacentral:rRNA from 1 species
UACGUAGGGUGCGAGCGUUGUCCGGAAUUAUUGGGCGUAAAGAGCUCGUAGGCGGUCUGUCGCGUCGGUCGUGAAAACCUGCAGCUUAACUGUGGGCUUGCGGUCGAUACGGGCAUGACUGGAGUUCGGCAGGGGAGACUGGAAUUCCUGGUGUAGCGGUGAAAUGCGCAGAUAUCAGGAAGAACACCUAUGGCGAAGGCAGCUCUCUGGGACGGUACUGACGCUGAGACGCGAAAGCGUGGGGAGCGAACAGG